rnacentral:rRNA from 1 species
UACGUAGGGCGCGAGCGUUAAUCGGAAUUACUGGGCGUAAAGUGUGCGUAGGUGGCCGGGCAAGUCGAGUGUGAAAUGCCCGGGCUUAACUUGGGAAUUGCGCUGGAAACUACGUGGCUAGAGGGUGGCAGAGGGAGGUGGAAUUCCACGUGUAGCGGUGAAAUGCGCAGAGAUGUGGAGGAACACCAAUGGCGAAGGCAGCCUCCUGGGCCACCACUGACACUGAUGCACGAAAGCGUGGGGAGCAAACAGG